AACAAUAUCACAAGGUCAUCAUCGAAAAGAAAUAUUGUUCAUUACAAUCCAUACAUAUGGUUCACAUACUAGUCAUCCAAAAGCUCUCCUAAUUAAAGUUCGAUACAAGUUCAUAAUGCAAAGUUCAUCAUCUCACGCUAGUCCAUACGAUAAAUGCAUCAUGCGAAGUUCUUCGUCACAUACCUACUCACCCAAAUCAACCGGUUAGAGUCGCUGAGCGACAUGAGAGCUCUU
rnacentral:lncRNA from 1 species